GAAAUGCGAUAAGUAAUGUGAAUUGCAGAAUUCCGUGAAUCAUCGAAUCUUUGAACGCACAUUGCGCCCUCUGGUAUUCCGGGGGGCAUGCCUGUCCGAGCGUCAUUGCGAACCCCUUCAAGCACGGCUUGUGUGAUGGGCCCUCCCGCGUCUUGGUCGUCAAGACGGGCCCGAAAUGCAGUGGCGGCUUCGCGGUUAUCCGAUCAGCCAGAGCGUAUGGGGACUCUCUCUCUUGUCACACGCCCGCGGCGCGGACCGACGCCUGUCGACCUUUAUUCAUCUUCUCUCGGUUGACCUCGGAUCAGGUAGGGAUACCCGCUGAACUUAAGC
rnacentral:misc_RNA from 1 species